rnacentral:tRNA from 1 species
GGGGCUGUAGCUCAGCUGGGAGAGCGCUUGAUUUGCAUUCAAGAGGUCGCCGGUUCGAUCCCGACCAGCUCCACCA